rnacentral:tRNA from 1 species
UGGUAGCUCAACGGAUAGAGCAACAGCCUCCUAAGCUGUAGGUUGAGGGUUCGAUUCUCUUCUGG